AACACUAGCUCGUGCAAAACAAACAGGUCUUCCACAAGAAAGUGUAGGAAGACCGGUGACGCAGCAAAAUUGUAUGUAUGUAUGCUCAGAAUGCCCUUUGCAGUGUAGCUUGAAAUAAAGAUUAUUUUCCUCGGUUAUGCUAUGCUGCGAUUAGCUAAUGGGUUUGCACAGAAAUCAUGUCUCUCCGUUUGCCCAGGAGGGAAAAAAUCAACCGUACUAGAGCCAACCACCCUCCGCCCUGCAUUGUCCUCACAGCCAUGUUUAUCUGAUAGGUCGGGGAUGUUGGCAAAGUCAUCCUGCUCAGCCAGCCCGAUCGCCAGAGACAGAACCACCAUCUUCCCUUCGCUGUCCCAUAAAGAACAAGACCAGGAGAGAGAAGCACACAGAAGGGGCAGAGUAAGAGAGGUAAGGAGGGAGCCGCAGGAUAGGAUGAAAGGAAAGA